UCACCAAUUUUUCUCUAAUCAAGCUGAUCUUUGCUGCCACUAGACAUUUCUCUUAGUCAUCAACUCAUUUUCAAGGAUUACUCAAGCUAAAAACAAAAAUCCUUACCUUUCCUUGCUUGAAUCACAAAACCGAGCUUUAUACCUCCAUUGACUCUCUAUGGCUUCUCUCUUGAGUAUUGAAGGUUCCUUGAGUGAAACAACAACAUAAAUCUACAAGAUGAGGGAGGAAAUCUCACGGUUCCUCUUGGUUUUUUGCAAAACGGAGCCUUUCCUUCCUUUCUUGCUUUUUCUUUAUUUCUUUCUCUCAUUUCCUUUCUGUUUUCUUCUUUCUUUCCUCUUGUUUCUCUUUUCUUCUUGGUUAUGGGUGGACUUCUCAAGGCCAAGCCUUGAAAAUGGCUUUCAUUUUCUCAUUUUUCUCUCCCAUGGGUGGAUUGCCCAAGGUCAUUCACCUUUUUCUCUUCUUUCCUUUUCUUGUCUCUUUAUUUUUCCUUCAUGGGUGGAUUGCCCAAAAAUUGCUCAUUUUAGCAUUUUUCCUUUUUCCUUUUAUGUGGCAAAAUUGCAAGUCAAAAGGCCUUUGAACCAUUCCACUUGUCGUUCACUUUUCAUUGUCCAUUCUUUCUUCAUUUCUUUUUCAUCUCUUAUUUACAUGCCAUGCCAUUCAAUUACCUUUCUUUGUUUUCUUUCUAUUAAAUAUUAUAUUUAUGCCUUUUCUUCUCAAAUCACAUCACCUUAUUUACUUGUUUACAUGGGCUAUCUUUGCCAAACCAUGGUUUUCUCUAAUUAAAUAUUUUUUGAUUCUUUUUCUCUUGUCAACUUUCACAUGGUGGGGUACCAUAUGUUUUGUCACGACUCGGUACUCCCCUCGAGCCCGUGACAACCUCCACGACGUCUCGGUAGACAUUCGUUACCCGAAAUGCCAACCGGAACCCCGCAAGGCUUUAGUACCUUUUUUUUUCAUCUCCCCUGUGAGUAAUCAUCGCCAAACCACGUUUUUAAAAAAUUUUAAGCUUUUUCCCUUUCAAAACCGUGAAAAAAUAAUUUUCGCCUCACAGGGGCGUUUUUGUCAUUUUUCCUUAAAAUUUUCUAAACCUGACUAAAAAUGUAGUAGAUGACUGAAAAACACAUAUUUCAUGAUUUAAAAUAGAUUUGGGCGUCUAAAACAUUUAUUAAAAAUGACAUUGCAACUAUUUAAAUAAAAUAAUAAUAUUUUAUAAAAUAUUCUAAUUGCUUGUAAAACAAUAUUUAUAGUCAUCGGUAAAUAUUUUUUGUAAUGUAAAAGCUAAAUAAAUUCAUACGUACUAUAAUACAAAUAACCGGGAUAUGAAAUUUACUUUACAGUGACUCGUGGGCCAACAAGGAACAAAAGUGCACAAAGGCAAUAAACCUACAAUUUUUGGAGUAGUAAAGCCGACUAUAAUCCUUGACGAUAUUUGCUAUCCAUAGGCUACCUCGGGCCUGAAAUGGUUAAAAAGGUGGGUGGUGAGAUUAUAAAAUCUCAGUGAGUAAACAGAUACCAUCUAAAUCAUCUAAAGUCGAGUAAGUGGAGAUAGAUAAAACAGUUUAACAUACUGAAAUUCAUCACCUUUCAACUUGUUUCAACCAAAUAAAAUCAAUUCAUAUAAAUCGAGUAAUUAACAUGGCUUAUGAAUUUCUUAAAACUUUGGCUCGUGCCAAAAAUCAUUUUUAUACCCAGUUAUCAAGGAUGCCUUGAUCGAGGGCUAUCCCAACCGAGUCCGCCAAGGCUAAUAAAAAGUCAUGUACGCAUAAAUCAUAUUUUUAUUUUGAAAACAUAGUCGUUCCUUGGCGUUGGCUGAGUUCUCCCCACGUGGUGGUUGGGUAUGAAGUGAACUCUAAAGUUUGACCUCAGGAGUUACCCUACGCGCCUCUACAAUCGAGGUGCAUAUAUAUGACCAGGUUCCAUGCCCUUAUAAUAGGUUGGUCUACAGAACCAGCCCACUGCAGCAAGCUAAACCCACUAUAUAAUAAAAAUUCAACAGCAUGAUAUGACAAUUUUUUAAUUAUCCAGCCUAUCAAGGCAAACAAUAGUUUAUACAUUUCAACACAAAUACCAAUUUAGCCAUUCAUGCCAAUAUUGUCCUAAGCCAAACAAUUAGAACCAUAUAUUCACAAUACAUCAAAUGGUCUCCAAUUACUCUAUUUUCAAAGCCAUUAUUCAAUUUCAAAACAAUUUUUUGAAAUCAUUUCAUUAAAUCACAUUUGGUUUAUAAAAUCGAAAAAUUAAUCAUUUAAUUCAUUUUCCAUGAAAUUCACAAAAUCAGAUAAAAACCACUUUAGAUAAUUAAGACGAUAGUAAGGUUACUCACAGUACUAGGAGUUCGAUAUACUUCUAUUCUCGAUCUUCAAGCACAAUCUCUUUACCCCUGUUAGAGGGCUCACCACCUAUACAUCGUAUGUGACACGAAUUUCAAUAAAUUGUGUCAAUUUAUCAUAAACUAUUUCAGGCUCUAUAAAUCUAUGUGAAUGCACGAAAUGUGAUGCAAAAUGUGUGAAUAGUCGUUUACAUACGGUAUUCGAUCUAAUUCGCACUAUUCUCGGUGUAAUUGGCUAAAACGUCCAAUUUAACUCCAAAUCUAUUUCUUUCACUUUCUACACUCCAAUUAUACUUAAAAUACCUCAAUGAAUGUGAAUAUGAUUCAAUUUAUCAGUUUGAACCAUAAAUCGCACAUGUCUAUACAUUAGGUAAAAAUUCAGAUUUUCAUGCCAAAAUUUCCCAUUAAAUUUUUAGCCUCACCAAUCAUUAAAUACCACCAAAAUAUUAUGAAAUAUCAUCAAUUUCAACCUCAAUAUCCUCCCUAGAAAAUUCGGCCUCUUGUGGGUUUGUGAAGAACAAAGUGAUUCCUAGCUAGAUUUUCAUACUUUCCAUUACCAAACAACCAAAAACACUUAAUUAGCUUGAAAUCUAGCAAAAUCAAUGCUCAAAACCUCUCCUCUCAAAUUCGGCCAGUAUGGGUUCAUCAUGCAAACUUGAGUUCUAAGCAUGGAAAAUGAAAAAGAAAGCAUGCGUAGUGUAAAUCACAAGAUAAAAUCACAGAAUCUUACCUUUAUUAGCUUAAUCCCUUGAAAUCCCACACUUUUUCUUCAAUUUUCCCACCUAGGGUUUGUGGUCUUUCCUUUCCUCUUCACUUCAUGCUUUGGCC
rnacentral:lncRNA from 1 species